rnacentral:sRNA from 1 species
AGUCGUCUGCAUAGAGAUGGAAGUGU